ensembl:lncRNA
AUGGGAUGUUUUCCCCAGCAAAGAUGCCGUUUAUUCCGAAAUGGUUCAAGAAGUGCCAAAGGACGCCUUCCCCCUCCCGUGGGGAGGCACGUCCCUGCUUGGAAAGCUUGCAGCAGGGUGGGGAGCCCUUCUGGGGCCAGCGCCUUCCCCAGACACCCCCAGCCUGCUCACAGGGCACCACCCGUGUGUCCAAAGGCUGGAGAAGACACAGGGAACCUCGGGGCCAGAGAUGCUCAACCCUCCUGCCCCGGGCAGGGCCAGGUCAGCGGGGGCCCCGCAGAGCUCGGCUGCCUCCCGCCGGGUCGCCCCCAGCUCGCCCCGGCCCUGCCACCUCGCCCCAGCCCCCUGACAGCAGCAGGGCAGCACCCCGCCGGUGCCCGCGGGGCGUUCGGCUCCUCCUUCAUUCCUCAUCCCUCUUCCUGCCGCACCGCGGCCACAUCCGAGCUCCUGCUCCUGAGUCACCGGAGACACAAACACUGCAAGAGCCACGGCCCAGCCCCAGGACAGCGAGGCCACCGGGUCACUGUGCCAGCGGGAAGCCGCAGGGCACCGCGGGGCGGGGGGCACCACGCAGGGCUGGGCAGCCCUCGGCAAAACCAACCCCAGGUCUUGCAGCGCCCAUCCCAGCGACGUCUGGGCACAGCGGGAGGGUGCAGGGCCAGUGAAGCGGCUCCCCUGGGACCACGGGGGUGUGAGAACCAGGAGCACAGCCUUCCCAAGCCUCCUGGCACACGGAGCACACAACGCUUCCACAGACAUCAGGGGCAGGGAGCCCGCCGACUGCUGCAGGGGCUGGAGGCGAAGAGAAGGCACCGGCCGACAUCCCUGAAGCAGCCCAGCCGCGUGCUGCCCGCUCGCUCCUCCAGCCGGCACCGCACGGCCGCGGGCAGCGAGGAACCUGCCCCGCUUCCCUCCCCAGCCGUAGGCAGCAGCCAGCAGAGCAGGAACCUCACCCCGCGCGCCCCAGCACGGAGCCCUGCCCGGGAUCCGGGCUUCUCGGAGCUGGCAGCGCCGUGGCUGCGGUCCCGGAGCAGAAGGAAACAGGAGGCCCCUGGGGAGAGCUCCGGGGCAAGCCAGGUUUUUGUCCCCUUUCCCACACCCCCAGCCCAGCGGAGCGCGGAGGCGCAGCAGGUAGGUCACUGCCCACGCCGCUCACCUUCUUCUCAUUCUCCAGCCCCCAGCUGUGACAAACUGUGA